ensembl:lncRNA
CCCCGCGCCGCGCGCCCUCCCGCGCGCCCACCCGGGCCCCGCCCGCGCCCCGGACGGCGCCCCCGCCGGAGGGCCCAGAUCAUACAUAUAAUUUCCUGUGCGGCUCUCAGUAUCUCCAAGACCUAGGAUGCUCCUUGAGAGGUAUGAUACUAUUUUGAGUGUAUUCCUGCUUAUGUAAACGAGAGCUUUCUAGAAGAGAUAAUGGUUAUGAACACUGGCCCUUAACCAAGAAACAGAAGUUGAAUGAACUGCGGGAAGAUAAACUUCACUUUGCUGUGAUUUCAGAACUGAUAUCAGCAGGCAGUUGUCUAAAAACUAUAUUUGUUUUCCUAAUCUGCUACUUUUCACGACAAUUAUAUUUGGUAAGGAAAACAUUCUAUUGAAGAGAUGCAACAGAUUCAUCAUCCUCAUUUUUUUUUACCUGACUGUUUGCCUCGCUACAGUGGUGUCUUCCCUCUGUCACCCUCAGACUGCCCUCCCGUGACUAGCCCCUGAUACUUCAGUACCGUCCGUCCUCUUAGGCCUCAGGAUUCAACAGCUUCCUGUGCAGGAAGACUCCACCAUCCUCCGUUUUGAACACGAGCGUUUCCACGCAGCACCAUGAGCUGACGCUCCCCAGGGCACUGUAAAUAACCAUUUUGGAGGUGGAAUUAAUGUCAUGUCUCAUUUUGAAGGCAAUGUCAUCUGAUCUCUUUUGAGUAGUAAUUAAAGUAACUGUAGGCAUACUUAUCUACUGGGAAAAGCUUUCAUGAUUAGCAGGUAAAAGAUGGGCUGGAUUAUCUAGAGAUCAAAGUUUGGUAAGGAGAUUUCCUGCAUAUGCUGGUGACCCACUGACUACUUAAUGAGUGGCCAGGCCAGAGACAACUCCAGUAUCUGUUAGUUAAUCAACAGAACACAUUGUACAAACAUCUGUUUACAAGUACCGUUGGUGCAUCCUUUACAUCCAGAUGCAAUGAAGACAACUGUUGGAAAAUUAGGAAAAAUGUGAUAGGACCAUGGUUCCUAAACGUCAGUGCCUGUCAGAAUCACCUGGACAGCUUGUUAAAACACAGAUUACCAAGCCUCACCUCAAAGAUUCUGAUUCAUACGUCCGUGAUGGGCCCUAGAAUUUGCAUUUCUAGCAAGUUCCCAAGUGAUGCACUGCUCGUCUGAACACUACACUUAGAGAACAACUUGUGAGAAGCUUGUUUUGUACCUUUAAAUUAUAUAGUUAGUUUACAAUUUUAAAUAGAAACUCAACUAUGAUAUCAUAAAUUUUUCAAAUGUAUUUUCAAAAUGUAUUCCAUAUGGUUACGUACCGUCAUGUAUUAAAGAAUCUACUUUUCCUUUUAAUUUUUUGGAUUUGUUUUUUCUUCUUGUUAGUCUUCAUUUCAUUCUUAACCCAAGCUAUGUCUUUUUUCCCCCUCUCAUUGUCUCGGUAAGAUUUCCCAAUUUUAUGCUAUUAUAUAUUGCAGGAGCAGUCAUUCUUUCUUGAGUAAUUUUUCAAAUUAGAAUUCUCUAUCAGAUCGUAAGCUCCUUGGAAGAAGGAACCAUGCGCUAUUCAUUUUUUAAUCCGUAUGCCCUUCCCAUCAUUGAUGC